UGAUAGAAGAAGAUGUAUAUUAUUUAAUCAAUGAUGCCAUAAGUAUUUCUUCUCUUCUCCUCGCACGCUUUUCUAUUCUUACCAAAAUUAUAACCCUUAAUUAUAUGUUCCGCCACUAUGUUGAAAAAAGAAAGACCGAAAAAUAACUUCUUAACCCCGACUAUUACUUGAAUGUUUUGGAGUAUAGAAGCUUAGCUGCCGUCACGUUCUAUUAGAUUAGCUGAAUGAACAGCUCUGAGAGACUUUAAAUUGACGUAAAUAAAAAUCCCACUCCGUAUCCAGGAAGAACACAAGCAAGAAUUACUCCGAUAAAUAUCCUUAAGUCAAAUCUCAGUGCAACGAGGAAUUGCAAGUUUGAUGUUAAGUUACACAAAGAACUCUAAAAUAUCCUCAGUUACUCUGCUUCUUUCAUAAGUACAAGCACAUGUUCAAUCAAAUUCGGUUUCUAUAAAUGGUGUAUAGGUUGGAAUGGUUUUAUUAUAAUAUUAAGUAUGAACCCAUUAUCUCAGUUUGUAUUUUUCAUGCAUGAAAUGUUCAAGUCAGAUCAAAACGACCCAGCGUGGAUCAUUGGUGUUUUGUCCUAUAAUGGUAAUGCCAGUAACAAAGGUAUGGAAGAGUUGAUUCUAUGGAUCAUUGAUCUGCUGUUUACCUUUCGGAUCAUGAGCAUCGACAAGUUUUUUUUUCGUUGAUAUCAUUAAUAAUGCAAGAGUGAUUUGCUAUAUCCUAAACUUGUCAAAUAAUUUCUUCUUAAUUGCAAAAUUGGUAAUGCCAAGAAUCAGAUUAAACUUAUGAAGAACACCAAUAAUAACUUCCAUUGUCGUCGUUGAGACCAACAAAAAAAUUUUUUUCCCCACAUGGCGUAACUUUAUUCAGAACCAAAUAAACUGAGGACUUUGCACAUUGCUUUAAACAUAAAAUUUUAAGCUUAAAAAACAAAAAACAGGGGUAAAAACAAGAAAAUUAUCAAACUAUAAAUAGAAAUAAAAAACAAGCAGAAGAACAAUUAAAAAUUAAAUAACGUUAUUGGCAUAUUCUUUAUUUACCUGAAGAACUAGUCAUUAUCUUUAAUUACUUUGAUAUGUAAAUUAACAAUGGGGAUGACGUCUGUAAUGUUUAAGUCCUCUUUAGUCCUUUUUGCAUUUAUUAAUAGUUGUGUUUUUGUGAUAAUGGCGUUGACCUUCCUUCCUCUUUCCCAAAAUAGUGUCCUAAAAAUUCAUCUCUACCAUUUGCUGCUCCAGAAGAGAUGGUCCGUAGUAUCUCUUGCUUCAUUACGAAAUGGGCAAAUACUCCUCUGGUCAUUAAAGAAUUUUGCCCCAACCUCCAACGUUCCUGAGAGUAAUGGAUAUUUUAACCAUUUCUCAGAAGAGGUCAAAUAUUUACUUUUUAUUGCUUUGAUGCGGUUAUAUGCUCAUUUGUUGAUGUUUCUCCUUUCCAAAUAGUCGCAAAAAGGAGCGAUAGUUGAUUUUUUGACACAUUUUCUGAUCUCUGACGAAGGAACUAUCGAGGUUGUCAUCCUGAACGGCACCAGAGCCCUUUCGACGCCCUUAAAAUGACUUAACUUUGAUUUAAAGGACGUUCAGCCUAUUUUGUCAAUUAGAGAGGUUGACCAUCGAACGUCCGCAGCAACAUCGGUGGAGACGCUUCUAACUUCCGGGAAAUUAAAGCGUCCUCCUAUGGGCAAUUCCCGACUACUAGACAACUCAAACUUCUAAGUAACCUCUAUGCACACUUCAGUGCAUUUGUUUGGAGUAUAAUGUGAGAUUCUUCAGAACAUUUUGAAACUAGCAUUGGGAUUACCCAUAAGAAAGACUUGUCUCUCUUUCAGAAAGUCACUCAGAAUAAUAAAUCCAAUUUCCUUUGCCUAUUCCACAUUUUUCUAACGCAAUAAAAGCUCAGAACCUUUUAUAUUUCCGAAACGCUAAUCACAGACAGUCUUCCACUAUUCAGUGGACCCUAAAGCCUAUCAUAGAAGAUUUUUCUUCUUCUUUUUGUUUGCAGAAAGGAGGCCUCUCUAGCGGAUAUAUUUUUAAUAUUGUCUUCAUUGUAGGUCCUCUUAUGUUAGAAGAUGAACCACUUUUGGGACAACAUUAGAUUUCAGUGCAGAUAUUUUGUCCCACAUAUUCAGGUUGAAGUUCGUGGAGAAAGAAGUAGCUUGAUUAAAUUACCUACCGAUUUACUCAUUAUUCUUUUGACAACUCUCAUUCUCCACCCGGACUCUAAGGAGUUUGAUGUUUCUUGUGGUACAGAAGCUUGGCUAUCUUUUUCUAUCAGUCCUCCAUAAGCGCUCAAUAUCUAUGUUUUUCUUGGAUUAAUAUUUAAUCCAGAAGCUGAACAGAGCUUUCUGAUUAAGGUCAUAAUUCUUCUAAUUGACUUCAUUAUUUCGAAAGGGCUCCUUCCCAAUACUAAAGUUAGGUCGUCAGCAUAGCAGAGGCGUUUUUGAUGUGCUGGGAUCACCGAAAAUUCAAUGAUGGGGUCAUCUUGCUGCAUAUCUUGAAGAAAUCUGUCUAACGUUGAAUAGCAACGUAAGCACUGGUCCCCCAGCCUUACUCCUCAUCGUUUCUCAAAAAAUGAUUCUUGAUUCUCGUACCUCAUAAUGCCACGGAAACCUGUCAAGAUUAAUCCGACAUUCUAAUUAUAGAAUCGCCGAACCCCUUUUUAUAUAGAGUACGUAUGAUGAACUCAUGAGACAUGUGUUAAAGGCUUUGGCAAAAUCUAUAGCGAUCACAGAGGUGUUAAUCGUCGAUGUCAGGAAGGACUGUACAGAUAAGGGAAUGUUGUCCAUAAGUUUAUCUUUCAGAAAUCUGUACUGGGAGGGACUCAUAUAUGCGUCCGUCAUACUAUUUAUUCUGUUAGUCAAUACAUAGGAUGAAAUUUUAUUUAUAGAAUUCUGCAUAGUUAACGGUCGGUAGUUCUGCAGGUAUCCAGAAUAUUUGUUACUUUUUUGUAUCAAGACGAUCCGUCCUUCCGAUGAAAAUUCAGGAAACCCCAAAAGACAUUACUUUUUCGUAAAAAGAGAGUAGAACAGUAAUAUAUGACCUACUAGGAGUAAGUAUCGUUUAUCAAAUAUUUAUUUUAAAUCUUUACUUCUCUGCUAAACUUACAGGAAUCAUAUCUUGUAUAAUUAUAGUGAUAAAUGCAAAGUUGCUACAGUUACUUGGAAAACGAGUCUGACUACUCCUUCAAAAAGUAUCUUAGUUACUUUAUUGAAUACUUGAUUUUCAAAGUUACAAAGUUAGACUGCGGGUUAUCCAUUGAAUCCUAAGUAAUCAACACGUUUUUGUUACAUAAUUUACGUUAUAUCAUUAAUAAUGCAGAUGACGUCCUUCUAUUAAUAAGUGUUUAACAUGAUAGUAGCCUUGUCAAUGGGAUGUAGGGUGCUGUAGUUUUGGUUAUGGAGUGGGGGAAAACAAAAGUUAUUACCUUUAAUACCACAAAAUCUAGUUCUAUAGUCUUCUCAAUAGCAUAUAAAUUAAGAUGUAAAUACUUUUCACAAUUAUAUAUUGAUGGAAAAGUUAUGAAAUAAGCAACACAAAUGUAGUACCUAGGUGUGGUGUUUGAUCAAGGACUUACUUGGACCGAACGCCUGAAAGAAAGCCUUCAAAGUGUUCCCGUAUAUGGAACAUGUCAAAGGCAGUUAUAGGGCAAAAGUGUAGGUUCACUGGUUUCACGAAGCCAUGGUCAGACCCAUCAUCACCAAUGGGUAUCUUGUAUGGGUGUAGACUGUAAUUGAAAAUACAGGUGGAAUAAGGAAAUUAACCACCAUUCAGAGAAAAGCACUCUUAGGCAUAACUCAUACCCUCCGAUCAACACCAACAAAGGGAAUAGGGGCAGUCUUGGGCAUUACUCCCCUCGACCUGUACAUACAAGUGCAAGCAAUGAAGUUUAGAUGGAGAACAAGGCAUUUUGUACUGUGCUCCCGGGAUGGUGCCGGUGAUCUUCCAAGGCGUCGUGAACAUCGUUUCUUUUGCGAUAAAAUACUUUUUCAAGUUGAAUUGAAUAAAAUAAGUGACUAUAUUACCGACAAUCGUAUCUGGGUCGACAACCGUCAAGUUGAACACCCUCACACAAUUAUAUAUACAGACGGAUCCAAAGAUGAGGAAGGAAACACAGGUGCAAGAUAGUCUAUCACUCGAAGUGACAUGCCCAUUCAUCAAUCAUCAGAAUCAUUAAAUAAAGUAGCAUUAGUCUUCCAGGCAGAAAUCAUCCCCAUCACACAAUCAGUAGUGGCUCUUCUUAAUCGAGACAAGCCAUCAAAAAAUGGGAUUCUCAAACGGCAAGUAUUGCUAUUCUCAAUCUGUCUAAUAAAGUGAUACAGUUAAAAAGUGUAAAGAAAUAUUAAAAAUCGGAAAAUGUGAAAUAAACAUAUAUCUCGAUUGGAGCAAAGGCCAUUCAGAUAUCAGAAAACGAAUUUGCAGACUAUCUGUCAUAGAGUCGUACUUAAAGUCAAAAUCAUUUAUGUGCUGGCACCUCCUAGGAACAUAAUGGAGGUGGUAGGUGACUUCUUCUUCCAAGUUUGGCAACAAAUACAGGGAAGAUCAAAGAAUAAAACAUACACAUCACAUGUUGAAGAAAUCAAAACAAAAGAGCGUCAAACUUUCGUGUCGAAACAUGAACUUACUUCUUCAAACCUACACAGGUCAUGUGCCAUUUUUGGCAGAUCUGAGCAAAUGGAAAGUACUAGUACAUUGUGGAACAUUUGCAUGGAAGAAACUCAAAGUGCAGACUAUCUUAUUAACAGAUGUCAAUCACUUUAGUAUGAGAAAUACCAACCAUGUAUGAAGAGGAUGACGAUCUUCGUAGACUUAAAUUUAUAUAAAAAUAAGUACCAAAAGAUUGACAAGAACUAUAUAAUUAAGUAGGACUUAAGUUAAAUUUAUGCUGUAGUAUUACAUAUACCCCUUUGUAUGGUCGUGUUAUUUGCCGUAUGUAUGUACAGUUUUGUAAUGUGUAUUUGUACUAUUUUAUAAUAUAUGUAUGUACUAUGGUAAAACAAAAAUAAUUUGGAACUCUACACAAGUCCUAUAAUCAAUUUCAAUUUUACCACAGAUAUAAACAAAUGGUUAUCUCUUGCAAUAUUCUACUCCAUAUUGUUAAUCAUCCAAAUUUUGUUAAGUUCUUGGAAGUUUACACUUGAAAAGUAAUUCCCUCUCGCUUCUCCAUCACCAAGUCAAUUGUGUUUCAAAAGUAAAGUAGUAUUGACCAAGAUAAAAACAAAUACUUGACAAUAAGCCUAUAUUUUUUGUAUUGGACGAAACUACAGACACUCGACAGCUGUCCAUGACUGCAGUGCUGGUGGUUCGUUUAGAUAGUUAUUUUUUGGGUCGUCCUUCUCUUAUUAAUUUGAAAGGUAAAAAGUAUCAAUAACGUUCUUGUCUCCGAUUUCAGAAACGAAAGACUGAAUCUUUUCACUACCAAUUAAAUCUAAGAAGCCCAAAACACUUAGCAACAUAUUACUAUUAUGAUGCAUCUCACUUGUCUUGCUCAUAGUAUGACCAGAAUAGCAACACUCUCUCUUGAUAUUUUUUUAAAUGCAAACAUUAUUAUCUCUGAAGUGAAUAAAUUUUUUUAAUUCAAGUGAUCUAAAACAAUUGACUACUGCUCCAAGAACUUCAAUUUAGUUAAAGAGUAUAUUAAUGUUAUGUAUAGAAACAGUAAUACAAUCUAAAAACAAAAGAUAUUUAGUUUAUUCAACAAAAUUUAAAUCCAGUCUAGGUAACCGAUAAAGCUUUGAAUAAGAAAUUAUUGAUACUCCCAAGUGUAAAUAUCGUAGAAAAUCUAUGCCAAGAUAUUACAUAUGAAUCAUUCAAAGAUAAAGUCUGUAGGAUAUAGGGAUACAUCAAAUUUAGAGAAUUGGAUCAGAAAUCAGAAAUCAUGAUAUCGACUUUUUAAAAUAAAAAAACAAUUGUAACGUUAAAUUUGAUUACAAGAGGUCACUUGAUGUCGUACAUAAAUUUACCAAAAAAAAAAAAAAAUCCCACUUGACGAUGGCAUUGUCAAGAAUAUGACAAUCAAACAGAACAAUGACAUUUACUAUGAAGAUAUUGGAAUGACUUCAUAAAUUCUAAAUAUAAUAAUAUAAAUAGUAACAAUUAAAAUUGUUACUUUAAUUUGAAAUAAUACAUACCAACUUUAGCUUAAUCCAUAAUUUUUAACGGUUCCAAUAUGAAAUUUAACUAAUUAAAAAUAUAAGAAAUUAAAUAAUUAAAAAUUAAGAAAACAAAAAUAUAAAUACUUGUAUGAUAUAUGUUAUCCUUUAAUCCUUCAUUAAUCAAUGUUCUAUUUUAUUAUGAUAUCCUUGACGUGACUUUUCGUCAAACAGAACCUUUUUGGUACAUCUUUGUCCGAUAUCAUACUGAAAACUCUAUCAGAAUUACAGUUAACAAUAGUAGUGUUUUUGUAUUUAAAAAAAUCACUAUCGUGAUUGAUGGUUUCAGGUGACAAUUCUCUCAAUUCGAAAUAUUCUUCGUUUUUCUCUAUCACCUUUAGACAUUUAGUUUUGAAAAGUUCAAGUGUAAUAUCUAUGCAUUGAUUUUCAAGAAUAGUUACACUUGUGAGUACCGGUAAUCUCUUUUACAAUGCUUUAAUGGCAACUUGUAUUGGAUUCAAAUUGUCUUGAAUAAACAUUAUUUCUGACAAAAAGGACUCAUUUCAAAGUACCUUUUACUUUUUUUUACUGUAUCAUUAUUUUCAUCUAUACCAUUAAUAUACUGUUUGACUGAAUUGAAGGGCUUGUCAUAGUAUUCCACUGCUUUAAAUCAAGAUUCCUAAGGCGUGAGGAUAGGUGCUGGUGGGAGGGGAACUUGGCAUAAAGCAAUAAAUUUACGUGUACAAGAAGCUCGCUCUGGUAAGUAAAUGUAUCGCUCCUAGACUCCAGGGAACCUCGUGAUGACAUAUAAAAAAAUAUAAGCGAAAAUAAAUUAAAGUUAGAUUCUUUUCACCGUUGGAAACGUUACAAAAACAGUGAAUGAAGUGCAAUAAAGAUAUUUAUCCGAAGCAGUAGAAAAGCUGCCUUACAAAAGUAAAGGCUGAGGAUACAGGGAGAAAAAAUGGUUGACGAAUGCAGACUCAAAGUUGGAGGAAAUAACUGAGUACGAAAGUAAAGGACCUAUGGUUAGAUUAAGAAGGAAAAAAAUACUUCUUAAACUUCAGAGAUGAGAGUGUUUGUAUUUUCGAAAUAAUAAGGACAGAGCGUUGCUAUUCUGUUCAGACCAUGAGCUAGACUAGUGAAAUGCAACAUCAUUGGAAAAUGUUGUUUAAGGUGUUCGGCUGUUUUAACACAAUAUGAAACUCCGUCGCAAAUCAAAACCUCUCAGUCUCUCGCCUCUGAAAUCUGAUCCAAGAACGUUGCUGAUACUUUUACAGCAACAGUUGUAAUAGUUUUAUUGCCCCUUUAGUAACAUUUCCCAAAUUAAUGAGAUAAAGAAGGCCCAAAAAAUAACCACCUAAAGGACAAACUAACGCAGCAGUCAUCGACUACUGUGAGGUGUCUGUAGUUUCGUCCAAUGCAAGAAAAAAAUCGUUCCCCUCAAGUUUGUUUAAAUCUUGGUCAACACUACUUUACUUUGAGACAUUGACUUGGUGAUGGAGAAGCGAAAGGGAAUUUCUUUUGCAGUGUGAACUUCAAUGAACUUAAUUUGGAUGAUUAACGGUAUGGAGUGGAAUAAUGCAAGAGAUAAGCAUUUUGAUUAUAUUUGUAUUAAAAUUGGAAUGUUCAGAAUUGAAAUUAAUUAUAUGACUUGUAUAUAGUUCCAAAUUCCUUAUGUUAAUGUGGGUUUUACGGUGUUGCUCUACUUUGAACAUUUUCAGGACUAUUGAUCCAUACUUAAAAAGACAGCAUGCCAAAAAUAUAGAAGCCUCUUUGUAAUUCCCUAUAUUUUUACCACCAUUAUCAGUAAUCCAUAAUUUGAAUCUAUUUCUAUAAGACAUUUUAUUUUUAAUGAUUUUAUUUAACUUUAUUUAACAAGAAAAGAAACAUAAUGAGUUUUGUAAUAUAAGUAUUAUAUAAUAUGUCAGUUUUUGUAUUUUUAUGUGAUGAAUUAUCAUGAAAAGGGGAAAGUUUAAUUUUGAGUUUAAACAAAAGCUGUUAUUUGAAAUGUUUAUGAUAAUUAGUAACGUAUUAAUGGAUGUCAUCUCAUCAUAUGAAUAUGUACUUGAUGAAAGACUAUUGAAUUUUCUAGAAACUACACAUUAGACCCAAACCGUCUAUAAACCUUGAAGUCAAAUGCCUUGGGAGGUUAAUCGUCAUAUAACCUCCAAACAAGUUACCUUGUAGAUUUUCGAUUUUUUUUAUACGCACAAUUUUUAUCAUUAUAUGCAAUUAUGAAAACUUGAUACUUUUAUUUUGAAAAAUAUGUAUGUAAAAAACAUUCAUCAUGACAUCAUUUAUGAUUGUUUAUUUUUUUUAUUUACAUCAAGUGCAUACUAAUAUAUAACUUAUAAAUUAAAUUUAGUUUUGUAAAUUCGAUAUGUAAAAAUGAACUUACCGAUAAUUGACAUGGUAACCCUAAAAAUAUGAAGAAUAUUUGGGAAGAGAGCAAGCACAAAAUACAGAUUCUAUAACCGUAUCUAGCAAAAACAUAGGCAGGAAUAACUCCGAUGUCAAUCCUCAAUUCUUAUCUUUAUCCAACAAGGACUUUUACUUUUUACUUCAUUUUAAAUCUUUGUGUUACUCUGUACAAUUUAUGGGCAGACGUACUCGUGGUUUCUUUACACUUAGAUAUAAUGUCCUGAAACAAUAAAUAAUAAAUACAACAAACAAUUGAUUUUUGAAGAUAAAGAAUAUUCAAGUAACGAUGAAAGUGAAUACAUUCCUCAGGUCAAUGACUCCUCAUCGUACAGUGACUUGGAAAUUUGACAAAAUGAACCAACUGAUGUUGUGAACGAAUUAGAAAAGUUACUGACAACAGUUGUGUAUUGACAUUUAUUUAGUACUACUAAUUUUACAUGUUAGUAGUUGCGGAUGUUUUACACAGCUACAAGUCUCCAGCAUUAUAAUGAAGAAGAUGAACAUGAAGCAAAUUCUACCGUGACUGCAAAAGAUGGUACUAAGUUGAAUAUAGUGCAACAACCAGACAGCGAAACUGGAAGAUACAGAGUACAUAAUAUUCUACGUGAAUCACCAGGACCUACAUCACUACCCAAACAUAAAAUUGUUGAAGGUUGUAUGCUAAGUGCAUUCAAUUUAUUGAUGGAUGAUUAUAUUAUAAAACACAUAAAAGAAUGCACUGAAACUGAGGCUAGAUUAAAAUUGAAUUGCGAAGAUUGCUCGACAUCUUACGAAGAAAUAUGUGCAGUAAUUGAUAUCAUGUUUGAUCGAGGAGUUCUGGCCAAAGGCCAACCUGUUGAAGAUCUUUGGUCCAAGACUUGGGGUCCUCGAUAUUUUCAAGAAAAAACGUCACGCUUAGAAGACCACACAGUCUUUUGAAGAAGUAAAGGGUUGCUUAGUUCAUGGCUAGUUGCCAUUUAUUUUAAUCCCGAGUUGUCUACUCAUUUGUCAACAGAUGCCUCACGUUUGAAUCGAAUAGGAUUUGCUCAAGUACAACAAUAUAACGACAACUGUUUAAAACUAAUUCAAUGUGAAUCAAGCAGCUUAAUUUCAACGGAAUCCAGAUAUUCUACAAUGGAACUUGAGUGUUUGGAGGUGCAAUGUGCAGUUCAAUUAUAGAUAUCCCAAAUAAACUCCUACAACGUUUCAGGGAGAAAUAACUGAUUGAAGAUGACAUUAAUAUACCUAAAAAGAGCUGUGUAGAAAUUAUGGCAAGAGAGUUGGGGAACAUAUAUAGUCUACAAGCAGCGGAAUUUAUUUUCAGUAAUAGUAAUGUUACAUUGGGAUUUUAUGCCACGAACCAAGAAGAUGUUCACAUAAACUCUAUACACUUAACUGGUAGGGACAAAUGUUUUUCUUUUGCUGUGAAAGAACAGAAUGAUUGUACAGGAGAUGAUUAUACUAAACAUAUUUCUU
rnacentral:lncRNA from 1 species